CCCGCCACGGUAAUACGAAGGGUGCAAGCGUUACUCGGAAUUACUGGGCGUAAAGCGUGCGUAGGUGGUGGUUUAAGUCCGUUGUGAAAGCCCUGGGCUCAACCUGGGAAUUGCAGUGGAUACUGGGUCACUAGAGUGUGGUAGAGGAUAGUGGAAUUUCCGGUGUAGCAGUGAAAUGCGUAGAGAUCGGAAGGAACAUCUGUGGCGAAGGCGACUAUCUGGGCCAACACUGACACUGAGGCACGAAAGCGUGGGGAGCAAACAGGAUUAGAUACCCCGGUAGUCCCUGUCUCUUAUACAC
rnacentral:rRNA from 1 species